UUCUGUGAGCAGGAAAGCAGGGGACCGCAAGGCCUCGCGCUCUUUGAGCGGCCGAUGUCAGAUUAGCUAGUUGGUGAGGUAAAGGCUUACCAAGGCGACGAUCUGUAGCGGGUCUGAGAGGAUGAUCCGCCACACUGGAACUGAGACACGGUCCAGACUCCUACGGGAGGCAGCAGUGGGGAAUUUUGGACAAUGGGGGCAACCCUGAUCCAGCCAUGCCGCGUGAGUGAAGAAGGCCUUCGGGUUGUAAAGCUCUUUCGGCCGGGAAGAAAUCGCAUGGGCCAAUACCCUGUGUGGAUGACGGUACCGGAAUAAGAAGCACCGGCUAACUACGUGCCAGCAGCCGCGGUAAUACGUAGGGUGCGAGCGUUAAUCGGAAUUACUGGGCGUAAAGCGUGCGCAGGCGGUUUUGUAAGACAGGCGUGAAAUCCCCGGGCUUAACCUGGGAACUGCGUUUGUGACUGCAAGGCUAGAGUACGGCAGAGGGGGGUGGAAUUCCACGUGUAGCAGUGAAAUGCGUAGAGAUGUGGAGGAACACCAAUGGCGAAGGCAGCCCCCUGGGUCGAUACUGACGCUCAUGCACGAAAGCGUGGGUAGCAAACAGGAUUAGAUACCCUGGUAGUCCACGCCCUAAACUAUGUCAACUAGGUGUUGGGUGGGUAAAACCAUUUAGUACCGUAGCUAACGCGUGAAGUUGACCGCCUGGGGAGUACGGCCGCAAGGUUAAAACUCAAAGGAAUUGACGGGGACCCGCACAAGCGGUGGAUGAUGUGGAUUAAUUCGAUGCAACGCGAAAAACCUUACCUACCCUUGACAUGCCAGGAACUUGCCUGAGAUGGCUUGGUGCCCGAAAGGGAGCCUGGACACAGGUGCUGCAUGGCUGUCGUCAGCUCGUGUCGUGAGAUGUUGGGUUAAGUCCCGCAACGAGCGCAACCCUUGUCGUUAAUUGCCAUCAUUUAGUUGGGCACUUUAACGAGACUGCCGGUGACAAACCGGAGGAAGGUGGGGAUGACGUCAAGUCCUCAUGGCCCUUAUGGGUAGGGCUUCACACGUCAUACAAUGGUCGGUACAAAGGGUUGCCAAGCCGCGAGGCGGAGCCAAUCCCAGAAAGCCGAUCGUAGUCCGGAUUGCAGGCUGCAACUCGCCUGCAUGAAGUCGGAAUCGCUAGUAAUCGUGGAUCAGCAUGUCACGGUGAAUACGUUCCCGGGUCUUGUACACACCGCCCGUCACACGAUGGGAGCGGGUUCCGCCAGAAGUAGGUAGCCUAACCGCAAGGGGGGCGCUUACCACGGCGGGGUUCGUGACUGGGGUGAAGUCGGAACAAGGUA
rnacentral:rRNA from 1 species